UACGUAGGGUGCGAGCGUUAAUCGGAAUUACUGGGCGUAAAGCGUGCGCAGGCGGUUCGUUGUGUCGGCGGUGAAAGCCCCGGGCUCAACCUGGGAAUGGCCGUUGAAACUGGCGAACUGGAGUGUAGCAGAGGGGGGUGGAAUUCCGCGUGUAGCAGUGAAAUGCGUAGAGAUGCGGAGGAACACCGAUGGCGAAGGCAGCCCCCUGGGCUGACACUGACGCUCAGGCACGAAAGCGUGGGGAGCAAACAGG
rnacentral:rRNA from 1 species